AGAGACAUCAACAGCAAGAUCACAAUCAGUGACUGGAUGGAACACUGAAGAUCAUCCCGAAAAUGCCACGUACUCUCUUCUCACAGCAAACAGGGGGGAUCAAGGGCUAGAAGUAACCCAGAUUACAGCAACACCAACCUGCAACAUUCCCUCGGAGAGUACCAACCAAAGAAGAGAUGCAGAUGCCGUC